UCCCGGCGCCACGAGUGGGAAUCAGUUUUAUUGGGUCUAAAGCGUUCGUAGUUUGAUUAGCAAAUCUUUUGUGAAAUUUUUAAGCUCAACUUAAAAGAUGGCAGGAGACACUACUAAUCUAGGAACUGGGAGGGGUCAGAGGUAUGCUUGGGGGAGCGGUAAAAUGCUAUAAUCCCUUGUAGACCACCUGUGGCGGAGGCGUCUGACUAGAACAGAUUCGACAAUGAGGAACGAAAGCUAGGGGAGCGAUCCG
rnacentral:rRNA from 1 species